AUGGGACGAGAGAUGAAGCAUGAAGAUCCCAAAAUGUGGCUGAAUGUUUCAUGCCAUGAGACCUGCCUUAACUCAUUCCCAAGACGGACAGUGCAGUCUUGAUGUGUUACAGACUGGACAACACUGUUCCGGUUCAUAGACUGGAUUGACACAUUCAGGGACAGCACAGUCUGCUACAACACAGUGAACUUCAUUGCUGGGCUCACAGCGACACCAUUCACAUGGAGAGGGCUAGGAACAAAGCUCAGGGAGAGUCAAUCUAAGACCUUUACUUUUGUGUGUGCAUAUGAACAAGGAUGCUAAAAAGCAGAGGAAUUACAAAGGCCACAAGGAGCAAAAGCAGGGCCCAGGGAGCACAGGAAUGUGUUCAUCACAACAAGCUUACCCAGGAAGAAACCCAUCAAGGCAGC